UACGAAGGGGGCUAGCGUUGUUCGGAAUGACUGGGCGUAAAGAGUGCGUAGGCGGUUCUUUGUGUCCGCUGUGAAAGCCCCGGGCUUAACCUGGGAAUGGCAGUGGAAACUAGAGAACUUGAAUCUGGCAGAGGGGGGUGGAAUGCCACGUGUAGCAGUGAAAUGCGUAGAUAUGUGGCGGAACACCGAUGGCGAAGGCAGCCCCCUGGGCUGAGAUUGACGCUCAGGCACGAAAGCGUGGGGAGCAAACAGG
rnacentral:rRNA from 1 species